GCCCGGGUAGCUCAGGGGGAGAACACCGCUUUUACACAGCGGGGGCCGCUGGUUCGAAACCAGCUUCGGGCA
rnacentral:tRNA from 1 species